GUGUGAGAAGGGCAUUCGGUGGAUGCCUUGGCGACAAGAGGCGAUGAAGGACGUGAUACGCUGCGAUAAGCCAUGGGGAGCUGCGAAUAAGCUUUGAUCCGUGGAUUUCCGAAUGGGGAAACCCACUCCGUAUGGAGUACCCGCAAGGGAGCAAACCCGGGGAACUGAAACAUCUAAGUACCCGGAGGAAAGGAAAUCAAUAUGAUACUCCCCUAGUAGCGGCGAGCGAACGGGGACCAGCCAAGCCUUGAGAGUGACCAGAAUGAUCUGGAAAGAUCAGCCAUAGCGGGUGACAGCCCCGUAUGGGAAGCUCGAUGGGAUGUAUUAAGUAGGGCGGGACACGUGAAAUCCUGUCUGAAGAUCGGAGGACCACCUUCGAAGGCUAAGUACUCCUUACUGACCGAUAGCGAACCAGUACCGUGAGGGAAAGGUGAAAAGCACCCCGACGAGGGGAGUGAAACAGUUUCUGAAACCGGACGCCUACAAGCAGUGGGAGGCCCCUUGAGGGCUGACCGCGUACCUUUUGUAUAAUGGGUCAUCGACUUAGUCUGACUAGCAAGCUUAAGCCGUUAGGUGUAGGCGCAGCGAAAGCGAGUCUUAAUAGGGCGA
rnacentral:rRNA from 1 species